UGGGUUUUUACCAUUGACACCAACUUUCAUAUGGGUAAUUACCAUAGGUUAUAUGAGCCACUUUGUUAAGAGUAUUUGCCUUGGCCUUUGGAAUGUGGCCUUGAUGUGUUUGACACAAAUUAUAGCCCUAAAAAGGUUUGUUAUCAGUGGCUAAAUUGUCUUGGCUUAGGUACUUUUUUCUUCAAGUGAAACGAAAUUUCCUCCAAACUAGUGCGAC
rnacentral:misc_RNA from 1 species